UACGGAGGGAGCAAGCGUUACUCGGAAUUAUUGGGCGUAAAGGGCGCGUAGGCGAUUUGAAAAGUCUUGUGUGAAAGCCCCGAGCUUAACUCGGGAAGUGCACAAGAAACUGUUGAAUUUGAGUUCCGGAGAGGAAGGCAGAAUUCCCCGGUGUAGCGGUGAAAUGCGUAGAUAUCGGGAGGAAUACCAGUGGCGAAGGCGGCCUUCUGGACGGAUACUGACGCUGAGGCGCGAAAGCCAGGGGGAGCAAACGGG
rnacentral:rRNA from 1 species